CAGGAGGGCUGGACUGAGGGUGCUGGACCCAGGAGAGGGUACAGGGUUGGAAUUGUGGGUCUGCUUGAUGGCAACAAUGUGACCAAUCUAAUCUAUGUAGCUCAGUAGUCCUCAAGCUGGGAGCGAUUUUGUCCCCCAAGAGAUAUUUGACAAUGUCUAGAGACAUGUUUGUUCUCGCUAAGUGGGGAGGUGUGCAGCCGGCAUCUACUGGGUGGGGGCUAGGGAUGCCUGUCAGCACCCUGCAAUGCACAGGGUGGCCCUACAACCAAGAACCGUCAAGCCCCAAUAUCAGCAGUGCUGCGGUGAGGAGUGCCGCCCUGGAUGAAGCUGUGGUGCUCUGGUGAACGUAUUAGCAGACCGAAUUGUGAGGAUGAUGGCAAUUCAUGGAGGAUGGCUGGGAAGUUAAUCAGCAGGGAGGAAUGAGGAAGAAAGCAGGGAGAACGUCCACGCCUUCCCAUAGCAAGGCUGAAAAUGAAGCUGCCAGAAAACAAGUAAGGAAAUAAAAAGACAAGUAAAGAGACCUAAGGAGUGGAGAAUACGGUUGUUAAAAGGAGUGGAGUGAGAAGGCCGUGGUUUGAAGACCUGAUAUGACUGGCAUGCAGAACGCUCCCGCUCCCCACAAGGCUGGCUGGCAUGUCUAUUGUCCACCGUGUGCUUUCGGGGGACUUGGAAUAUUUAGCUGGUUUGCCACCACUGCCCAGAGCCCCUGCCACUGAUAUGUGCGCAAGAAAACAAGAAGUAUAACAUUAGAUUUGGCAAAGCAUGAAAAGGAGGCAGAGCUGCUGCAGGAAGAAAAUUCAUCUAACACUUUAUAAAGUAAAACAAAUAAAUGUGAGUGUUCUGUUUCACAUCUCUGAUCGCUUCAUUCAUACGGAAAAUUCAAAAUUAUCUGCAAUGGACAUAUAUUCAGGGUGCCCAGUCUAGGCCAUUUCUUUAUCUA
rnacentral:lncRNA from 10 species